rnacentral:rRNA from 1 species
UUGGAGGGCAAGUCUGGUGCCAGCAGCCGCGGUAAUUCCAGCUCCAAUAGCGUAUAUUAAAGUUGUUGCAGUUAAAAAGCUCGUAGUUGAAUUUCGAGAUCAAUUUGUCGGUCGUGCCUCGGUACGUACUGGCAUUAUUGAUUUCUCCCUUCUGAAGAACCGCGAUGUCAUUAAUUUGGUGUCGUGGGGAAUCAGGACUGUUACUUUGAAAAAAUUAGAGUGUUUAAAGCAGGCGCACGCUUGAAUACAUUAGCAUGGAAUAAUGAAAUAGGACGUUUGAUUCUAUUUUGUUGGUUUCUAGGAUCGACGUAAUGAUUAAUAGGGAUAGUUGGGGGCAUUAGUAUUCAAUUGUCAGAGGUGAAAUUCUUGGAUUUAUUGAAGACUAACUACUGCGAAAGCAUUUGCCAAGGAUGUUUUCAUUAAUCAAGAACGAAAGUUAGGGGAUCGAAGACGAUCAGAUACCGUCGUAGUCUUAACCAUAAACUAUGCCGACUAGGGAUCGGAUGAUGUUAAUUUUUUAAUGACUCAUUCGGCGCCUUACGGGAAAC